rnacentral:rRNA from 1 species
UUUAUAUUGUAUAUAAAUAAAUAAAGAUCACUUUCAACAACGGAUCUCUUGGCUCUCGCAUCGAUGAAGAACGUAGCGAAGUGCGAUAAGUAAUGUGAAUUGCAGAAUUCCGUGAAUCAUCGAAUCUUUGAACGCAAAUUGCACUCUCUGGCAACCCGGGGAGUAUGCCUGUUUGAGG